rnacentral:tRNA from 1 species
UAGCUCAGUUGGUAGAGCAAAGGACUGAAAAUCCUUGUGUCCCUGGUUCGAUUCC